GUCUAACUGGCGCAGUAGGUAGCACAUCAGUCUUGCAAGCUGAAGGUCCCAAGUUCAAUACUUGGCUCAAACC
rnacentral:tRNA from 1 species